ACAUCGGAACAUGUCCUGUAGUGGGGGAUAGCCCGGCGAAAGCCGGAUUAAUACCGCAUACGAUCCACGGAUGAAAGCGGGGGACCUUCGGGCCUCGCGCUAUAGGGUUGGCCGAUGGCUGAUUAGCUAGUUGGUGGGGUAAAGGCCUACCAAGGCGACGAUCAGUAGCUGGUCUGAGAGGACGACCAGCCACACUGGGACUGAGACACGGCCCAGACUCCUACGGGAGGCAGCAGUGGGGAAUUUUGGACAAUGGGCGAAAGCCUGAUCCAGCAAUGCCGCGUGUGUGAAGAAGGCCUC
rnacentral:rRNA from 1 species